GUUCUUCCUGAUUCCUGUCGCUCAUCCCUCGCGCCGUUGGCUUCGGUGGCGCCAUUUUGCUGUGCGUAGCUUUGGCCAACUUCAUCUCCGACCGCCGUUGGACGAAGAAGAAACCGAUUAUGAAGAAAAGCAGAGGAGUGGUUGCUCUUCAAAUUAUCCAAGAGAAAUACUAAAUGGGGGUUUCUUGAGGGUGUGAGUAUGUCUGAUGCACCGCCACCUAGAACGGUCUUGGUGCAGCAGUGUAUCCGUGAUAGAGGUGUAUUGGAAGUUCUAUGCAACUAUGAUGCUAUCAGUCUACUAAAAUUAAGGUCUCUUCUAUAGUGCCUAACAUUUACUGAUAGACUUAAAAAAUAAAGAUGCGAGUCUUACUUUAUCUCUACUUUAGACAAGUUAAACAAAAAUUUUGUAAACACCAAAGAAUCUACUAAAUUAAAUUAAAAAAGAAAAAACUAAAUUGUUCCUUAAAUUAACUGACCUUGCAACUUUUUAAUUGAGUUCUUA